GACGAACGCUGGCGGCGUGCCUAAUACAUGCAAGUUGAGCGCUGAAGGUUGGUACUUGUACCAACUGGAUGAGCAGCGAACGGGUGAGUAACGCGUGGGGAAUCUGCCUUUGAGCGGGGGACAACAUUUGGAAACGAAUGCUAAUACCGCAUAAAAACUUUAAACACAAGUUUUAAGUUUGAAAGAUGCAAUUGCAUCACUCAAAGAUGAUCCCGCGUUGUAUUAGCUAGUUGGUGAGGUAAAGGCUCACCAAGGCGAUGAUACAUAGCCGACCUGAGAGGGUGAUCGGCCACAUUGGGACUGAGACACGGCCCAAACUCCUACGGGAGGCAGCAGUAGGGAAUCUUCGGCAUGGACGAAAGUCUGACCGAGCAACGCCGCGUGAGUGAAGAAGGUUUUCGGAUCGUAAAACUCUGUUGGUAGAGAAGAACGUUGGUGAGAGUGGAAAGCUCAUCAAGUGACGGUAACUACCCAGAAAGGGACGGCUAACUACGUG
rnacentral:rRNA from 1 species